GCUGCGGUAGCUCAGUGGUAGAGCACUCCAUUGGUAAUGGAGAGGUCGCGGGUUCAAUCCCCGCUCGCAGCACCA
rnacentral:tRNA from 1 species